UUUCUUUUAUUUUUUUUCCUCUUAACAAUUCAAAGAACAAUUACUCCCAUCAAUUUUUAAAAUAAAAGAAGAUUAACGAGAGAUGAAUUAUACCUUUGUUUCCCCCUUUUUCUUUCCCCCAUCUUCUUCCCUUUCUUCUUCUUCUUCUUCUUCUUCUUCUUCUUCUUUUCUAUCUUCACAAUCCUUAUCUAGUUCUCAGAGGGUUUGGUUGAGGAUGAGAGGAUAUUUUCCAAAAAAAAAAAUUUCCUUGUUUUUUUAUUAUGGUUUUCUUUGAUUUCUCUGUUUUAUUCUUCCGUUAAGGAGGUGCCGGCCAAUUCGUCGAAUGGAUUUUAGCCACUAAACAUUAACGUGACAGAUAAUCAGGAGUUAGGGGUGAAAUCUCAAAAAACCAUUAAUUAGUUCUCUAAUCUGUAAUUAAGAAAAAAUUCCAUUAAUCAAGUUUUAAGACACUAAUUAUUUAGGCUACUACAGUUUAACUAUUGCAUGAUUGGUUGAAAUGUUCUACCUUUUAGUAUACAGUUGAAGGCUAGCAUUAGAAAUUCCAUUUUUCCAAAAUCAUUGAACUUAUUCUAUUGAACCGGUUGCGCAUAGAAGGCUUUUCCGGCUACAGGACAAUGUAACUCUUGUUUGAAAAUAUAAGCUAAAGUUUCUCGUCGUUUGCUGUAUUAUGUGAAGAAUGUGUGUUUCUUAGUGUCAUACAUGCUGGCGGACAUCUCUUAGGACCGAGCUGGACAUUUAAAAAAAUUUACAUCAUUUUUGGUGUCCCGUACAUCUUAUAAUGUGAAAGAAAAGAAUGCAUAAGUUACUGUACUCGUAAAAUUAGGAGCUGUCAUGGAUGCUUUAGAGGCUUGGACGCAAAUGAUUUGUCCUAUUAUUCAAUCUCCACCAUCAGGUUCUUUAUUCAGGAGCAGAAAGAAGUAGCGUUCUUCUGAAAGAAUCAAUUUAAAGGAGAGAAAUGAAUUUGGAUAAAUGAUGAUAUAGAUUGAAGAAAUUGAAGAAAAUUGAAAAAUUGUUGGUGCGAAUUGAAGAAAUAUCAUUUUUGUUCCAACAAAAUGCAGGGAGCCAGAAAGAGCAACGAAACAAUCUUCUAGCACCAUUUUACAGUAUUAUUGUAGAUACUGAACACAGAACUUCUACCAUGUUGAGAGCAGAAAGUAAAUGUUAAUGCUAAAGCCUUGCUGAAAGUAUUUAAACAACAAAAAAGAAUCAGUGAAACCGCACAAAAACAAAAAUAGGAAUGACAAAGCCUUUAGUCAAAUUUUGGGUUGCUUUUUCCCACCUUUUCCUUUAUCAGUACAAGGUCACAUACGCUGCUAAGUAACACUACUACAUUCUUCGUCACUGCCUCUAUGGCUCUAUCCAUUCCAGUUUUGGUCUAUGUCUACGCAAAAAGCAGCAACAAAGCCUUCAUUGCAAUAUUUUGGGUUCUGCUAUGAUUGUUUCUUUUGCCCUCACUCUGAUCUGUUCAGGGAGUUUCUCUUUAGAAGAAACUACUGUCUCCAUUCAUGGUUGUUUUGGACUAUCCAUAUUCCUACCUGUUCUUCUAACUACGAUUCUGUGUUCCUUUCAACUCUGUUGAACAUGUUCAAAAAUGGUAAAGAAAUUGUAUUAAUAGAACUUUGUGCUUGUCAUUCUCUUGACUCCGGUAGUCUAACAAGUGGUCAGUACAGAAUCUAACAGUAACUGUCUGUUGGAAACUAAAUCAACCAGGUCUUUCUUAAUCCCACAAACUUAUAAAUGGAGCUAAAAUGCCAAUGUUUUAUUUAAUUCUGAUUUUGUCACCUUCUAGACUUUCUGCUGUGGCAUAUUUCAGUCUGAGAUUUCUGCACAUUACAAUUUCCCAUCUAGAAAACUAAAGAAAAAGAGAAAAAGGAAAUGAACAACCCUGUUUUGCAGUAUAACUAUGUUAAAUAAUUAUGAAGAAGAGAGUCAAGAGACAAUGAGUACCUCUUUUUGUUAUAUUAUGAGAAGAAGAUAAUUAAGUUCUUUUAUCAGUUAAAGUUAAUAGUUGAGUGGUAGGUCUUACUUAAAUAGAUUAAAAUCUUAAUUUCGAAGUUCAAAAUUAGAUAGCGUAACCAUCAAUCUCUUCUUUACAAAUCUAAAUAAAAAUUUAUGAUUUUUAAAAAGUAGAAACCAACUUGGAUUUCAAUAUCCCGAGAUCUCAAUCAAUGCUCAUGUUUAUUUCGCUUGAGAUUUGGACACGAAUGUGAUUGAGACUUUCUUCUAAUCCCCAAAAUGGGUAGUAGAAGGUUCCAAUAUCCCUUAAUAUUCAGGACAUAGGACUUCCCAUGACCAUUAUACGCCCCCUCCUAACGCAUUCUCCACACCAAUAUAUCAUAGGAUUAUAAUAUAAUAUGUUGAAUUAGAGGUCCAUUUGUAAUUUUAGAAUUUUUGAGUGUUGUUUGUAAAGUUUUGAGGGUAAUUUGUAAUUUUCAAAACUUUGAAGGAAAUGGUUGUAAAGUUAUCAAAGGGCUGUUUUCUAAAGUUUUCAUGGGGUUAUUUGUAAUUUACAAACAAUUUUGUGGGUGUUUUGUAAAUUCUUUGGGGGUGUUUUAAUUUUGGAAACAUUCACGGGGUUGUUUGUAGUACUGUUAAUGAGUUAUCUGUAAUAUUUUAAAAUUUUCAGCAUAGUUUUUAUUACUUCAGCAACUUUCAUGGGCUAGUUGAAAAUUUUUCAAAUGGUUGUUUGUAAAAUUUUCAAAGGGAUAUUUUCAAUUUUUAAACCUUUUAAGGGGCUGAUUGUAAAAUGUUUAGGGGUUUGUUUGUUAAACUUUAGGGGGCCGUUUAUAAUUUUUGAACUUUAAGAGGGAUGUUCAUAGUUUUUCAGAUUUUCUAGGAUUGUUUGUAAUUUAUGGAUUUUAAAGGGAUGAUUUUUAUUUUUAUUUUUCAAUUUUAUGGUGCUAUUUGUAAUUCUCAGGUUUCCCAAGGAUUUAUUUAUAAUUUUUAAAUUUUAAGGGAUUUCUUGCAACUUUGAUGGGGUUAUUUGUAAUUUUUAGAUUUUUCGUGGGGAGUUUGUAAUUUUUUAAAAUUUCAACGGGUCGCUUGUAAAAUUUAGGGAGUUGAUUGCAAUAUUUUCAAAAUUUUUAAGAAGGUAUUCAUUAAUUUCACAAUUUUCAUGGGGCUACUUGUAAAUUUUUCAAAGGUCUGUUUGUAAAAUUUUAAAGUCGAUACUUGUAGCAAAAACCCCUCGGGGGGCUGAGAUCGAGAUAGAGUGAGAAGUUUGCUAGGAUUAAGAAGUUGGUUUUGAUACCUUGUAGAAAAAGAGAAAUGACAGUUAUUAUUUCAUCUAACCCGAACCUCUAUUAAAUAUAGAUCAGGAGGAUAUUACAAAAUAGGUGUGAGAUAUAGUCACAUCUAACAAUAUAUACUAAUACCUAAUGAUAUCUAAUAGUAUCUAUCAAUCCUUAAUGUGAAUACUAGUUUCAGCAAUGAUGUCAUAACUUAUACUCUUCAGAGCAUGACUGGGAUAAAAAUAAUGGAAAGCCAACUGAAGAGGAUAGGAGCGUUUAACACAAACGACUCCAUCAACGCAUAACCACAUUUUGACAGAAGUUUUAAGAUUUGUAAGUUCUUUUAUUAUGUCAUAAAAAUAGGUAAAUCAUGAUGUUAGCCCAUUCUAUUUUAAUUUUGAAAUCAUUUUUAUAGCUUACUUUGUAAAAUAUUAUAAAUUUUGACUAUCAUUUUAGCAUGGGCCAAUCAUGGAGAUGAAAUAAGCAUGUGAUACUCAGAGACUCCAGCUCUAAAAGGAGAUCUUGUCAGAUAAGUUUCUAGAAGUUCUCUUUGGUUUAUCUUUGACGAGUUUUUUAGUGUUAAUCGUGGAAUGGCAGUACCUAGAAUAAAUUAGAUUUUUCUCCCUUAAACAUAAUGGUGGUCUUUUUUAUUUUCUUUCUUUUGCUCAAUGUUUAUAUUCUAGUUCAUCUUCUCCAUUUAACAUACCGAUGGAGUUAUUCUUUUCCCUACCGUCGUAUUGUGAAGUUAAUUUGGGCUUUUGUUUAUCACUUGUGAAGUUAAUUUGGGCUUUUGUUUAUCAGCAUAGGUACUCUCUAAAGGAUGUUAUUCCACAAUAUGUUGAUUGAGGGGAUGCUGUUUGCAUCAAAUAAGCCAUAAAUAUUUCAAAAGGGAUUGGCUAGUGUGACCUUUUCAUAUUCUGACCAGUGUGCAAAGAAGCACAACCGUACAAUUGAACAAUGGAAGCAUACAUGGUACAGUGCAACUUGGGCAGUGAUUUGCUGCAGACGUGAAUGCAGCAUGCAGAUGUCAAUAAUCCCUUAUCACAUCCAGGUUAAGAGUAUUACAUUAAUGACAUGUUAUUGACAUCCAAGAUUAGAUCAACUGAAUGGGGGAAAAGGAUUUAAAAAAAAAAAACAAAGGCUUUCAAAAAAUCAGCAAUUACCAGGACAUAUCAACCUUUUGGUUCUUAUCUUAGCAUAACCAGUUGGAAUAUCUAUCUGCAAAGGACAGUGGGAAAACUUCUGAAUCUGACCAGAAACCUAAAUUCAUAGCGAAUAGGUAUCAAUUUGGGUUGUUGUACAUACUCCGAUCACAGAUAGCAAGUAUGUAAGGUUGGAAAACCUUGUAAUAUCAAAGGAUGAGAUUUACAAAGCCCUAAAUCUAAACUUUAUCCAUCAUCUGACAAUAAGAGAUGCAUAAUUCUCUUGUCGCUGUAAUUGAAGCCUUCUGGUGUAUUUGUUUGGCCUGAUCUGGAUAGCAGGUAUGGAAACACAUCUGUCAGUAAGCACCCUGAGAUUCAUGUUUGCACAAUCAAUUGGUGUUUGGUCAAGGAAAUGUGUAUGCAUCAACAAUUAGGUCAUCCUGUCUAAGCUGAUAAAAUAACAACAAAGGUUCCUGAACUGGUUUUGGCGAUUUGAAACUGGCCUGGAAAAAUCUUUAUCUCAGGCGGCAGCUAGUUACUCACAACUCCUGCUGUUGCCGUGCAUAUUUAUGAAGGCUAAUAUAUGUUGAUCACCAGCAACUGGUGAAACCCAAAGAUUUCUUGUUAUGGAAUGAGGCAAUCUAGAGGAGUUGGACCAAUGUACCUUGAGUCAGAAUUUUAAGCUUGAUGUCUUAAUUUAAGGGUGUAGUCUCAUCCUGGCCAUCAACAAGUGGUCAGAUUACUAAUGUAUGAUGAUGGUAGAUCAUAGAAAAACUGGGAGUUGUUGGUUUAUGUUGCAUUGAUAGUUGAUGUUUCUUGCCUUGACGGGGGCUGUGGCAGUAACAAGCAUAGUGAUAUAGAGUUGACUGGAAAUUUUAUUGGAUGAUUAUCAAACAAUCACACACGCGCGCGUGCACACACACUCACUCACUCACUCACACACGCGCACGCACACACACAAAAGAGAGAGGAGGGCUCCUAAGUUUUGUUGCUACAAGUAGCAUUUCAUGAUGAAACAUCUAAAUUGGUCUAAAUGAAUUAAGGCCCAAAUUCAAUUCCUAGAUCAAAUAUUCAAAAAUGCGGAUUUGCAUCAUUUCCAGAAAUGUACAAUUCCCAAAUAUGAAUCAUGUUAUGUUAAUGGAAUUGUGUUCUUUGAUCAAACAAAAUAACUUCCUCAUGAAUUUGUUUGUGUGUGGAUGGAAAAAGCUUGAAUAUGAUGAAUGCGAACUAGGAAGCACUAACGAAAUGUUAAGUGAAUAUAUUCAGUGAAUUCGUGAUAUCAGUGGCCUUUUCCAAUUCAGUCCAAUUCCAACCUUACUUACCAUGUGUAACUGCUAAGAAAAGAGAAUGGUGCAUGAUGUGGGUAAAUGGCAAGAGAGAUCAUGGAAAUGGGAAAAGUUAGCAGAGUAGUGAACUAAAGCCUCUUGUGCAUGGUAUAUUUGAUGGUUGUCUGAAAGGGUCUUAUUGCCAAAUUCGUUGAUGAACUUCUUUGGCUUUAGGGUUGACACCUGCCUGACUUUUUCGAGGCUGCUUGUCCUUUGUUUGCGGUUGGUAGUAAUACCAGUAGAGCUACAGAUAAAGUGCCUGCUAUUACUUUCACCUUUACUUGUUAGUUAUGAGGUUAAGCUUAAUGCAAAAGGUCAACUUAAGAGUCAUUCAUGUCUCCGUAUUAGGGAAUUUUAGUGUAAAUGUGGUUGAAAUUAAAAGGUACAUUGCUUUCCAAUUUCAAAUUUCUAAAGAAAGAGUUGGACAAAGCCAAAACCAGGAUCCAAAGAACCUAUCUAUUUCUACUUUAUCCUAUUCUUCAACGUCUUCCUUCAUCGACAAUUAGUUACUUAAUUAGUUGUUAAGUACGUUUGUAGUUUCAUAUAGUUAUAAUACAUUUAUGCCUUGUUAAAUUAGCUUCUUAAAUAUGCUUGAAAUGUUUAACAGUAAUAAGUACCUCCUUGGCUUAAAGAUGAUUAUUUGAAAAUUUAUCUUUUUUCCCAGGCACGGAAAUUGCACUAUACAAUGUAUUUUAAAAGAUGGAUGGAAUGCACUAGCUCGAUAUUACUUAAACAACCUUAUAGAUGUGAUCAAGCAGGUCUGUGAAAUGAUUUUAUUUUCAUUUGGGAGUGUUGCUUGCACUUUUUUCAUUGUUAAUAUUGAUUAUGAUUUAGAACAAAAUUAGUUUUAGCAUAUUUUGCGACCUUACAAUUAUUUCUUAAAAUGGAGGUUUUCAUGCUGACAAGUUGUCAUAUAAAGAUAAAACUGAGGAUACUUAUUUCAUGAAACAUAUGAUACUCUACUAGUGUUUAUGACUAACAUUAAAAUUUGGAAUUAAGAGUAUAAUAUCGUAGGUUACUUCUCAUCCCUCACCUUACACUCUUAAGCAGAACUGUAGUAGGUAUUUCGUGAGAUUGACUUGUGUAUCAGGUAAAACUUUUUAUUGAGUGUAACUCUAACUGCCUAUGUUGAAAAGAACUAAUCAGAUUCCUGGGUAUGCAAGAUGAUGCGAACAAAAGAGGUAAUUCCAAGUUUAUUGCAUCUUCCUAGAAGUGCUCCUUGAAAUAUAAUAGUCCCUAAAUUUUUAUGGUUUUCACUGUUGCUUAAAUAAAGUCCAUUCAUUGUGACUUGUGAAUCUUGUUCAAGUAUUGGAAUCUGAUUGGUUAAGAUUCUUGUGUUUGUUAGUUUCCUCUUGUUAUUAUAUUACUUGAUUUAUGGAUUUCUAGAAGUUUAUGAAUCUUGUUUGUGAAUGUUGAUCAGAAUCUGAUUGGUUAAGAUUCUUAUGCUGGUUAGUUUCCUCUUAUGUUCAUGAAUCUUGUUCAAGUAUUGGAAUCUGAUGUAAUUCUGUGAAUCUUGUUAGUUUCCUCUUAUGUUCGUGAAUCUUGUUCAAGUAUUGGAAUGUGAUGUAAUUCCUUGAAGUUUAUUGCAUCUUUAGAAUUUUAUGGUUUUCAUCAUUGCUUAAAUAAAGUCCAUUCAUUGUGACUUGUGAACCUUGUUCAAGUAUUGGAAUCUGAUUGGUUAAGGUUCUUAUGAUUGUUAGUUUCCUCUUGUUAUUAUAUUACUUGAUUUAUUGAUUUCUAUAUUCUCUUUUUUUCUCAUCUUCAGUUGAAUGUGAAAUUUUUGUAGUCGUCACAAAUUUGUUACUGUUGCAUUGGUUCUAAGGAUGCUAUUGAUCUGCUACAAGGGCACUACAUUUUAUCUGUCAGUCGAGAUAUGACUUUGCCAGCCCAACCAGGAGGUUUAGAAGCAUAUGCUUUAAGUAUACAGUACAUUAUAUUAUUAAUUUAUAUAUCUAUGCCAACAAAGAUGAUACAUCUUAUAGUUUGCUUAUUCAAUACUGACAUUGAGCUGUUUGACUCAGUUGAAUUAUUUACAUUUCAAUUUUUAGAUAAUGAAUGUGAUAACUUUUAUGUUUAUAAGGGAUUGUGUUUGUUUUUGCAAAUAGUGACUGUGGUUGACCAAUGACGAGUUUUUCAUGGUACAGAAGGCUAUUAGUUUCAGGAGGUGUUUAAUGUCUUUCAGCAUUUACCAUCAUAGAAAGCAUGGUUCCGAGACUUGUAAACACUGCUAUAUCCAAAAAUGAAAAUUUUGGUUCAAGUUGUUCCAAUAAAAAAAUAUAUUCUACUUUUCUCAAUUACUUCAUCUCACAGAGAAAUAUCUCUGCCGGUUUAAAUUUUAAAAGGUUGCAUUAAUUUAUCAAAAUCAUUUUGCACCUUCCCAUCAUUAACGUCAUCUUCCUCUCUUCUGUAGUCAGCUGUUUAUUCCUCAUGUUUUCAACAUUCAUGGCAACAAAAUUCUGUACCUUGUGAAGUUGAGGGCCUUCAUGUGACCAGAAGCUUCUUGACAUUUGGCUAUUACUGGUUCCAGAAUUAGACUGGAGAGGUUGUUCCUUUUAAUCUGUUAGAAGUGAAUGGUAGAUUAUAGUGUAAAUAAGAGAGGAGAAUAAGAGCAGGGGUUUUUUUUAGAUACAGAUUUUUGUUUUCUCUUGCUUUGUGUUGAAUGUUCUUAAAUACUUUGGGGAUCAUAACUGUCGAAGGUUCCCGUGACAACGCACACCCGCCAUCCCCCAUAUAAGAAAGGGACCAUAAUGGAAUGUGUUAUGUUCUUUUUCCUAGUAGUUCUUUCCCUAAUCAGUUGAUUACCUAAAUUGAAGCAGUGGGAUGGUUAAUCACGUUGACAUGUCUUGGCAGAUACACACAUCACAUGCCAUUGGAACCAUAAUCAUGCUUAGACAGUCUUCUUUCCUUAUAGGUCGCAUACAAGCAAGAUAGCUUGAUAGAGUAGCACAUUUGGUUUAGCUUUUUUCCUUUUGAACAAUCUCCAAUCUUAUAGGAUUUCUUCCACUAAACUUUGACAGAAUAUGAGAGAAAUACAUCCUUCCAUUAUCUACUUGUCAAAAUUAGUCUAUUCUCUUUCCUAUAUAUUUUUUUCAAUUCCAGAAGCAUGUUACAUCUUUAGGUUUGAUGAAAAUGAUAGUCUUCUUCACUAAAACUUGAGGGCAUGGUUUGUUUUAUCUACUGUAUAUAAAAUUGGAUUCAGCACUCAUGUUGGGUGGCUUUAUGUUUGCAACAAUGUCACUGAGACAAGGUGCGUAACCUGCAACGGGUUAAUUAUCUGCUCCUAAGAUAGAAGUUAUGUUUCUAUUAACCAUUAACAACUUCCAUUCAUUGAUUACUUAUAACUUAGUUAAAGAUGAUGCCCCAGUUUCAUAUGAUCAUGUGACAAAAUCUCAUUGAGUUUAAAACCUAAAAAAUUUAGAAGACAUUGGUGAUGGUGCACAUAUAAAGACAUCAAGAUUAUUGUUCCACUCAAGCGAACAUUUCUUGCAUAAAUAUCACUUUUCUGUGACUUUAUUUCUUUACAAUAUAAUUACAGUCCAUAUUUAUCCAUGAGUAAUCAUAUUUUUCUUCCAUCAGGAAUUGCUGAGGGACAAAUGAACACCUUCUACUUGAAACACCUAACCAAUCUUGUUCACGAGAGUGUGUCCUUCUGAUAAUUAAGUAAUAAAAUUAUGAGGUGAACAUGUAGCUCCUGAUAUUACAUGCUGGAUUUCUGUAAAAGAAGCUAGAUACGAUCCCCGCCGUCCACUGCUAUCGAUGGUGUGGUCGGGCCUCAGUUUGGAAGUAGCAGCAUUUGUGAAAGCCAAUGGGCGGAAGUUCCACAACCGACCCCGUCUUUUCAAAUCACGCCAUCGAAAAGAAAAAAAGAAAAGAAAAAAAAGUAAAUGGCUCUAGUAUUUGUAAUCAAAUGGAUCAUUAAGCAAUUAUACAAUUAUUGGUAUACCCUUAUCAGCUUAGUUAAUUUUAGUAGAGCAUUCUUUUGUUCAUAAGAUUUUUGUUUUCAUAUUCGAUUGGAUUGAUUGUUUACAUUCCCAGGGAUAAUUUAAUAAAAAAAGACCUUAUUUUUUCUUUUU